rnacentral:lncRNA from 1 species
AUGGAGAUACCCUGGUAAGUUUUUUUUACUAUUACGACAUCCGUGCAUCUUUUUGCGUACUUCUAAAACUAGUACAUCAUUGCUAAUUACGAAGUUAUUACUAUGUUUUUCAACAGCUUAUCCCAGAGAAUUGUGUGCCUCAUUUGAUGUAUCAGAAUGGCGGCAGUGUUCGUGUUUUGAACAUAUAUCCAGGUCAUCCUACGAAUCUCAACUGUCCAUACCGGAUUUCUAAAAGAAGUGGAGACAUGACAAUCAAAGGAUGGAAAAAAUGUAUGGACAGUCGUAAGGAGCUUCUUGGAAGCAAAAGGAAGCGAGGCGCAAGAAUUGGAGACAGGAUGAUCUCCAUUCUUCAUAAUGGAGAGUCAGGGUCUAUAUUGUUUUAUGCUAUUUUACCUUAAGUGUGUUUAGGUCCGAUCCUACCUGAUACUGAUGAUCAUGUGCUAAGAACAAUUAUGUAGGAUUGGGUUCGAUGACUAUGAGGAUGACGAUCGUAUGACUUAUUAUUAAUAACGAGUAGAAGUUGUAUGAUGAUGCUUGAUUAAUUAGCUAGUAGGACUUGUUAUUAUAUAUGAUGAUGUAUGAUGCGAGCAUGCAUGAGUUAUUAUAUAUAUAUCUGCGGGUGAAACGAAAAAGAAUUAAAAUGGAAAACACAAAAUUAAAUGAAAAAGAAAUCAUAAAACCAAACCCCCCCCCCCCAAACAUUUUAGUACCGGUUGGUGUUACCAACCGGUACUAAAGGGCUCCCGGCCCCUGGAGCUGGCUCGUGCCACGUGGUGGCCCUUUAGCACCGGUUCGUGCUGAACCGGUACUAAAGGGGGGGGGCCUUUAGUGCCCACACUUUAGUGCCGGUUCCUAAACCGGCACUAAAGGGCCUUAUGAACCGGUGCUAUUGCCCAGUUCUGCACUAGUGUCAUCAUAUCAAUCUCCAUCACUUUAAUCUUGCUUUGCUUUUUUACUUUGUCUUUUACUUUUCACUUUGCAUCUCUAUAUCAAAAAUACCAAAAAUAUUAUCUAUCAUCUCUAUUUGAUCUCACUCCCGUAAGUGACCGUGAAGGGAUUGACAACCCCUAAUCGCGUUGGUUGCGUUGAGCUAUUGUUUUUGUGUAGGUACGAGGGACUUGAGCGUGGCCUCCUACUAGAUUGAUACCUUGGUUCUUAAAAACUGAGGGAAAUACUUACGCUACUCUGCUGCAUCAUCCUUUCCUCUUCGGAGAAAUCCAACGCAAGCUCAAGAGGUAGCACCUCCUGCGCCGCCACGGUACAGAUCACCGCCUCCAACGCCGCCCUGGUACAGAUCUCCGCCCACAACGACAGAUCGCUGCCCCGAACUCCGCCUCGUCUCAGAUCGAUCUUGAUCGACGCAUCGGGAGGGAAUUGGGUGGGAUUACUCUCUCUCUCUCUCUGGACGAAAAAUUUUGUGGCCGAGGAAAACCUUGCUCUGAUUACCAAUUUGUUAGAUCCCGCUAAGUAUCUGUAGGAAUUUUCUGUGGAUUUUUAUGAACUAUGAGGUAUAGGUAUGAGGUAAGAGGAACUCUAGGGUUCCAGUAUAUUAGCCAUCGCGGCGAUUUGGGAAAAUGUUCAGGUGAGAUUCUGCCCAGCCACAACCCGGCUAGUUAUAGGCGACAGUUUAACCAGAGAGUAACAUUAAUUAUGAGCUAGUCCUGUUACAACGGUAAAAAGGAUUCAACGGUUGCAAUGCGUCAUCGUGCUCCCAGCCAAUCUGGUCCGUUGGUUAACUGAACCGGUAUUCUCCUGAAAUGCUACAGCUAACUGAAUCACUACUGGUGCUAACACCACCCUCCUCCUCGACCUCCCUCCUAGCCGCGGCUGCAUCUCCUUCUCUUCCUCCUCUCUUUCCUACUCCGCCGUCCUCCCCCAUUGUGACGCCCCCGAUUUAAUCGUACACUAAUCAUGCACGCAAAUGUGUACGAUCAAGAUCAGGGACUCACGGGAAGAUAUCACAACACAACUCUACAAAUAAAAUAAGUCAUACAAGCAUCAUAAUACAAGCCAGGGGCCUCGAGGGCUCGAAUACAAGUGCUCGAUCAUAGACGAGUCAGCGGAAGCAACAAUAUCUGAGUACAGACAUAAGUUAAACAAGUUUGCCUUAAGAAGGCUAGCACAAACUGGGAUACAGAUCGAAAGAGGCGCAGGCCUCCUGCCUGGGAUCCUCCUAAACUACUCCAGGUCGUCGUCAGCGGGCAGCACGUAGUAGUAGGCACCUCCGGUGUAGUAGGGGUCGUCGUCGACGGUGGCGUCUGGCUCCUGGACUCCAGCAUCUGGUUGCGACAACCAGGAAGAAGGAAAGGGGGAAAAUGGGGGGAGAAAGCAACCGUGAGUACUCAUCCAAAGUACUCGCAAGCAAGGAACUACACUACAUAUGCAUGGGUAUAUGUGUAAGGAGGCCAUAUCAGUGGACUGAACUGCAGAAUGCCAGAAUAAGAGGGGGAUAACUAAUCCUGUCGAAGACUACGCUUUUGGUCACCUUCGUCUUGCAUCAAGUAUAAGAGAGUAGAUUGAAGUCCUCCAAGUAGCAUCUCCAAGUAACAUCUUCAAGUAGCAUCGCAUAGCAUAAUCCUACCCGGCGAUCCUCUCCUCAUUUCCCUGAGGUAGAGCGACCACCGGUUGUAUCUGGCACUUGGAAGGGUGUGUUUUAUUAAGUAUCCGGUUCUAGUUGUCAUAAGGUCAAGGUACAACUCCAAGUCGUCCUGUUACCGAAGAUCACGGCUAUUCGAAUAGAUUAACUUCCCUGCAGGGGUGCACCACAUUCCCCAACACGCUCGAUCCCAUUUGGCCGGACACACUUUCCUGGGUCAUGCCCGGCCUCGGAAGAUCAACACGUCGCAGCCCCACCUAGGCAAAACAGAGAGGCCAGCACGCCGGUCUAAACCUAAGCGCACAGGGGUCUGGGCCCAUCGCCCAUAGCACACCUGCACGUUGCGUACGCGGCCGAAAGCGGAACUAGCCCCCUUAAUACAAGAGCAGGCUUACGUUCCAAUCCGGCGCGCGCCGCUCCGUCGCUGACGUCUGAAGUGCUUCGGCUAAUACCACGACGUCGGGAUACCCAUAACUACUCCCACGUAGAUGGUUAGUGCGUAUAGGCUCGUAGCCGACUUAGAUCAAAUACCAAGAUCUCGUUAAGCGUGUUAAGUAUCCGCGAACGCCGAACAGGGCCAGGCCCACCUGUCUCCUAGGUGGUCUCAACCUGCCCUGUCGCUCCGCCACAAAGUAACAGUCGGGGGCCGUCGGGAACCCAGGCCCACCUCUACCGGGAUGGAGCCACAUGUCCUUUCAGCCCCCUCGUCAGAAUCACUUGCGGGUACUCAAUGAGCUGACCCGACUUUAGUCACCAUCUGUAUAGUAUGUAUGUAUGUAUAGUAUAUACCCGUGAUCACCUCCCAAGUGAUCACGGCCCGAUAGUAUAGCAAGGCAGACUGACAAGAAUGUAGGGCCAAUGAUGAUAAACUAGCAUCCUAUACUAAGCAUUUAGGAUUGCAGGUAAGGCAUCAACAGAUGUAGCGACAAUGUCAGGCUAUGCAUCAGAAUAGGAUUAACGAAAGCAGUAACAUGCUACACUACUCUAAUGCAAGCAGUAUAGAGGAGAAUAGGCGAUAUCUGGUGAUCAAGGGGGGGGCUUGCCUGGUUGCUCUGGCAAGAAGGAGGGGUCGUCAACUCCGUAGUCGAACUGGGCAGCAGCAGCGUCGGUCUCGUAGUCUACCGGAGAGAAGAGGGGGAAGAAACAAUGAAUACAAUGCAAACAAAAGCAUAUCGAUGCAUGACAUGACAAGUAACGAUGCUAGGCGUGCCCUAACGUGGUAUGAGGUGGUACUGGUUAAGGGGGGAAUCAUCCGGGAACGUAUUCCCGGUGUUUCGUGUUUUCGGGCAGAGGAGCCGGAGGGGGAAAGUUGCGGGUUCGAUAGGUUAGGGGGGUGUGGCGGACGAACGGACCGCGUAUCCGGAUUCGUCUCGUCGUUCUGAGCAACUUUCAUGUACAAAGUUUUUUCAUCGGAGCUACGGUUUAUUUUCUAUUAAUUUUAAAAGAUUUAAAUCAUUUUCAGGAUUUAUUUAAUUAUUUAUCUCAACAUUAUCCAGAAUAGUGCAUGCUGACGUCAUCAUGACGUCAGCAUGACAUCAGCAGUCAACAGGGAGUUGACUGGGUCAAUCUGACAUGUGGGUCCCGCAUGUCAUACACUGUUUUAGUUAACUAACAGUUAAUUAGGUUAAUUAGUGAUUAGGUUAACCUAAUUAUAAUUAAUUAACUUAAUUAAUUACUUACUUAAUUAAUUAACAUUUUAAUUAUUUUAAUUAUUAUUUAUUUAUUUAUUUAAUAUAUAUUUAUUUAUUUCUUUUUUUUAUUAAAACGUUCUGGGGGAUGGGGCCCCCAUGUCAUUGGCCCAGGGGCCUAUGCGGGUCGGGCGAUGGGGCGCUCGAGGUGCCCGACCCGGGCGAGGGCCAGCGGCCACAGAGGGGCGCCGGGCGCCGGAGAUGGCACCGGCGAGGCCACAUCGGGGCAUCACCGGGGCUAGGCAGCGCGGUGGAGGGUGCACGGGACGCAGGGGGAGGCAAGGCAUGAGCGGGUGGAGUUGGCCGCCAGUGGCCAGAGUGGGGCGGCGGAGGAUGGGCGGCGGUGAGCGCGGGCGCGCGCGUCGGGCGUGGCCGGCGCGGCGAGGGCGGCCCGGAGGAUGGGCAGGCGCUGCAGGGGGGGAAGGACGACGCCGGCGACAGAGAAAGAGAAGAGGCCGGGGGCCUCACCGGCGAUCGUGGGGACUAGGCAGUGGGCUCGGGGAGGGUUGGGGACGACGCCGACGGAGUCGAGGCGGAGGAGCUCCGGGAGGAGGACGAGGACGCGAGGUGGUGACUCCGGCGACGGCGAGGUAGCUUCGGGCGAUGGCGGUGGUUGGCGAUGGGGACGGGGCGCCGAGCGGCUUCGGGUCGGGCAGCGCCGCGUGGAAGGAGAGGGCGCGCGGGGUCGAGGUGGUGGCGGUCGGCGNNNNNNNNNNNNNNNNNNNNNNNNNNNNNNNNNNNNNNNNNNNNNNNNNNNNNNNNNNNNNNNNNNNNNNNNNNNNNNNNNNNNNNNNNNNNNNNNNNNNNNNNNNNNNNNNNNNNNNNNNNNNNNNNNNNNNNNNNNNNNNNNNNNNNNNNNNNNNNNNNNNNNNNNNNNNNNNNNNNNNNNNNNNNNNNNNNNNNNNNNNNNNNNNNNNNNNNNNNNNNNNNNNNNNNNNNNNNNNNNNNNNNNNNNNNNNNNNNNNNNNNNNNNNNNNNNNNNNNNNNNNNNNNNNNNNNNNNNNNNNNNNNNNNNNNNNNNNNNNNNNNNNNNNNNNNNNNNNNNNNNNNNNNNNNNNNNNNNNNNNNNNNNNNNNNNNNNNNNNNNNNNNNNNNNNNNNNNNNNNNNNNNNNNNNNNNNNNNNNNNNNNNNNNNNNNNNNNNNNNNNNNNNNNNNNNNNNNNNNNNNNNNNNNNNNNNNNNNNNNNNNNNNNNNNNNNNNNNNNNNNNNNNNNNNNNNNNNNNNNNNNNNNNNNNNNNNNNNNNNNNNNNNNNNNNNNNNNNNNNNNNNNNNNNNNNNNNNNNNNNNNNNNNNNNNNNNNNNNNNNNNNNNNNNNNNNNNNNNNNNNNNNNNNNNNNNNNNNNNNNUUUUUUUUAACUUUUUAUUAUUUUCCUUUUUUUUCUUUUUGUUACUAUUUAUGUUAGUUUUAUAAAUUAUAAAAUUAGUUCCUAAAAUUGUAUUACUACUUAUUCUAAUGCCACAAUAACUUGGGCGCCCAAACAAUUUAGUUUAACAUUUUAUAUAUUAUAAACGAAUUUAAUUACUGGUUUUAGCUACUGUUUAUUUACUUUAGAGCAUUUAGCUAUUUUAUAAAAGUGUGGUUUCUCCACCAUAAUUACCUAUGCAAUAUUUGGUUCACUCCGAACAUUUUAGUUUUAAUAUUUGAAAACUUUUAUUGUUUGCUUGAUUUUGAAUUUGAAUUUGAAUUGAUUUCGAACUAACUCGAGAUUAGCAACUAUAAACGAGGUGACGUGGCACCAUUAGCAGAGGAUCACUGUAGCUUAAUUACCCGGGCGUCACACCCAUCCACCCAUGCUCCACUCCUAUCAUGGAUCCCGCUAGAUCCGAGGCUUCUCCGACGGUGACGACGACCUGUAGGCGAAGGGCGACGACGCAGAGGAGAGGGAGGUGCAGCAGCACACGGGAGAGGGUCACCAGCCAGCGUCGGCCUGUGCUGGUGAGGUCGGGCUCCACCAUUCCUGUCCCUCAUCCUCACGCGGCCUCUCUUGGUCACCGGUGCUGCAGUUGCAUGGGGCGUGAGGAGAGCAAGGAGAGGAAGGGGAAGAGUGGGAGGCGCGAGGACGGAGGCGCUCCGGCGGCGGGGCUCGCCAGCCAUGCGGUGCUCGUCGUGGAGGACUCCACAUCCCCUCUUGCUCGCUGCCGCCACGGCCUUGCUCGCCAUCGACCUCCCCAGGCGAUUCUCUCCCCAAAUUGUGCCUACAUGGCUAGAUCGAUUCAAGCCCCAGGUGAAGACACCUCCCUCACUGUCCAAGCAUGCUUCUCUAUGCGUCACCAUGACCGGUUUGACGAUUCAAGCCAAGGUGAAAAUAUUGUCCUCUCUUUAUUUUUCAGUUGUGUGAGAUCUAAUUUUGUUCAGAAUUUGUGUGGAGCUUGAAGCACAUCAGCAAGAAAUUGGAGAUGAUUCUUUGUCCAUGGGAUAUUCCAAAAACGGAAAACAACACAAUAAAGUAUUCACUAUGAACUGUACCAUAUUCAGAUAUUUUGUUUGCUUGUUCAGAAAUCCCAAUCAGACUUUUUCUUUAAUUCUAUUACAUGUAAAUGAAUUACUUGAGGAAUGUGAGAUCUCUUAUCAAAUUAUAUCCUUUGAAGCUAACUCAUGUUGCUUUAUUUUACUUGCUGGGUUGCAUUAGAUCUUCACGGAUCAUAUCUAUUAUUUUGAGGAGCACUCAAACAAUUGUAUUGCAAAACAAUAUGCUUUUAUUUGACGGUAUGGCAUCUUAGUCCUUUCAUUGGUAGCGCUGUAUAGGCCGGAUUGGCUGAUGUACAAGUGUAUUUAUUGAACUUAUCGACUUUGCCUGGUUCCAUGUUUUCAUUUCCUUUCGUUGAUGAAGAUUGACUUUUUACAGUGCAGAUCUGGAUUGUAGAAUUGCAUGCUUGAGUUGGGGCUUGUGAUUGGCCUUUGUGAUGCGCAGGUAGAUUGUAGGAUGUACUUGAUUGAUCUAUGAGAUGUGUGGCUUGAUGGUGAAGUUUUUUCACAUCUGCUUGGUUAACCAUGUACUCACUAUGUCGAAAUGAGCACGUCCACCAUGUUGAGUGUUCAUAUAUUCUCUGGUUAUGUCAGUGCUUAUCUUACUUACCUGAUUUGCUAUGAAUUGCUCUUGCCAUUGUUGUGCUCUUGCCGGUGUGAGGAUAGUUGCAGAUUUAGUGGUCAUAUUUUGUUAAUUUUAAUAGAAAUCCUUUUUAUUCUGAUAUACAUGUCUUUUAUGCACUGCCACAUCGGUUCAUCUUUAUUUCCUAGAUUAUCCUGACAGGUUUAUGUAGGAUCAACAUUUCUAUCUUGCUAAGCAUUUUUUAAAGUAAUAACGCAACCUGUAAGUUUGGGAAAUUUAUACUUGUUCAUUGUAACAUUAGUAUUCCAGUAAGCUCACACCUGAUGUCUCCAUCUUAUAAUUGCAGGUGUAUUCACCUCAUCAUACCAUCAGUUCUAAUCAAGGUACCCAUCAUUUCCUACAUUACAGUAGUGAAAUUUAAUUGGCUCGUGGGGGCAUGUUCAAGUAUGGGAAAUGAUGAGCUCCUACUUCUUUUUAUGCCAGCUAUAUGUCGUAGGUGAGCUGCGACCUUCUUCCCUACAAGUUUGUGAUAAUCAGUUAUCCUCCAGAGGGAAUUGUGAUUGUGAUUAGUAUCUUUAGACAUUAGCCAUAUUCGUCAGUACUCACCGUCUCUUUCAUUUCUCCUCAUUUUAUAAAUGUACUGACCUCUGGUAUAUACAACUAAAAUCAAUGUGCCAAACAACAGUAAAUAGAAGUAACAAGAAAUAUCUAUAUAUUAGAAGAUUUUGAAUGCCACUUUAUUACAGUAGUUCUGAAAUGCCGCCUCAUUUUUUUCCAUUCAUAUUGUUUCUCAUAGUUUUAAACUAAAAGGAGGAGCUAUAAAAAUUGUCCUUUAUCUUUCAUUUCUUUAUGUCGAAGCGUCUAUGUAAUGUCUGGGUCGUUGUUGCAGCCUUGCGGGCGAAGGCCUUGUGGUGAGACUCAUUGCCUACUAAACUAACAGUCUUGUAGGUUGUAGCUGGCCUUACUUUUGCUGGGAUUUUUCUUCCAAAUUUGAUGAAGUAACCUGCUAAAGCAUGAUCAACAGAUUAGUCUAAUCAAUUAGCAUCUGUCAUUAAUUGUGAAAACCAAGUCAAUAAAAAUGGGCAUGAACUGGUCUUGUCAGAAUCUACUAUUCAGUGCUUUGCAUAUGUCAUAUUGCCAAUGUUCACAAAACUACAUGUAUCUUUUGCCAGCAAAACACAUGUACCCGUUCGGCCCGCAGCAAGACUUGGCAUCGUCAUUCUUCUCCAAAGAUUUCGUCCUUACAGAGGUUAGCAAAUAAGUGGAAAAGAUAGAGAGACAGAACCUUGGUUUGGUUUCUGCUGGGUGCUGGCAAAUAAUCUGGAAUAGUAGCGGUUGCAGCCCACAUGAUUUGUUUUCAUAUACUUUAUAAUGCAGAGGUAGGCUGGAUUCUGGAAAUUGGAGUCAAUGGUGGAUCAGAGAGGUGUGUGUGUGUGCAUCAUGCUUCUGUUUGAAAAAAAUUAUGAUCAUUGUUUCGCUAGGUGUCCUCUUCUUAGUUCAUGUUGCAGCCAGAAUAAAAUGCUUUGUUGUUCCUUUGUGCUCGGUGUUGGUAGUUAGCAGUGUUGAAAUUAUUGACACCCCAACAAAAUCCACUAAAAAUGAUGUGGAUACAUACCUAACUUGCCUUAUCCGGCUCAUGCUUCGAGGAGCAGUUUGAAACAUGUGUUUCAUGUUUUUGGGGGAGAUAUUCUGGCUGGUAUUUAUUCUGGUUAUUGCUUGCAUCAAUUUGGUUAAACUCACUUUGAUUUCUUCUAUCAUGAAUGAAAUAUGCAUUUCCUCUAUAAAGAGCCUAUUACAGACUAACUUUGGUCUAAUUAACCGAUAAUGACUCUGUUAUUAGAGAAUUCCUUUUCAAUGGAAAGAGAAUGUUAGUUUAUUUUGCAUUUAGUGAUUGUAUUGGUGACCAGAGAAUAGAUAUAUUUCAAUAGUCCUUUUUGCAGCGUUGAAUUCCAUUCAGCAUGACAAAGUAUAUUUGACAAAUAAAUGAUUUGAUUCAUGCGGCCAUGUUCCUUUAUUUAAUGAAGUUUGCUGCUCGCCUAUGGUUGAGUACUCCCUAUGGUUAGGUGUCAAUCUUCUAAUUCAUUCACCAGAUUAUUUUUUGCGCCUUCUGGUUGCGUAUCCAAUUUAGCAGCCAACUUAUAGAGUUAUAGUAGUACUGUGUGUUAUUUGUUAUCUACCUCGAUGCCCUACUAAUUUCUAUUAUUUCAAAGUUGCAGGCACCACAUUAGUGUUUCUUGUUGUCUACCUUGAUGCCAUACUAAUUUCUGUGAUUCUAAAAUUGUUGGCACCCAUUCAUGUUGCCUGUUGGUGCAUGGACCGAUGCCUUCCAUAUGAGAAAUGUAAAGGAUGGAUCAAUUGGCAUUGCACAUGUAUAGUUCUUUGUCUCUCUGGAAUAUGACGUGGAUCUCUCAACAUUGUAGAGGACGUGCAUCUCUCAACACAGUCCCAGGUUAAUGGUUUGCUAAAGCUACAAUGUAGGUGCAUUGUGCAUUUAUUUUCUGGGUACUAACUUCAGAUGUCCUGUUUGUUACAUGUACCAAUGUAUCCUCAGGAUAUUAACUUCAGAGAAACAAUCUGCGCGUACUAAUGUAUAUUUCUAUACAAGCUAUCCUCAAUGGUUGUUUCGCGUUGGGGUUCCCAACAUCGCAUAGUAAUCCUUGCAGCUUCUUUGGGAAGGUGGCACUAAUAUAUACAUUCAACAUACUCAAGUUCUAAAACUGCUCCUCUUGACCUGUUUCAGCUUUGUGGGCGAGUGCAUACAUGAUGAUGGCAGCUUGGUGUUCGCCUACUGCAAGGAAGGAGCUGUUGUGCCCACUUUCCUGUACUUCACAUGAGCUGAAAGAGGCCAAGUGCUAAUUGCAAUGCAUGCUAAAAUCUAUGCAUUCGUCAGUAUUUUUGCUCUGGUCUAUGUCAAUCGACUCUCCCAUGUUGCUAUCGUAACUAUCAGAUUUUAGUGUCUUUGAAACUUUAUGAAUUCUGGGAUCUGCUUUGUAAUGGUAAUUUUGAAAUUGGUGUGGCUCAGUGUCGCUGUGUUUUGUAAUGUUUGCCCUUUUACUCACUAUUAGCUGAAGCAAGAGAUCCUGGAGACGAGAGCUCAUUGAUAUUCUAUUUCCUUACCUGUCAUCAAAUCAGUGUGAGUCAAACUGAAGUAUUUGUGGUUUAUAUGAUUUUGUAGUUAUCCAAAUGUGCAUCUUAAUUAUCUUUGCUAUAGUGUGCACUUCUAAGAGAAAAGGAAAGUAAUAAUCUAUGAAAGGUUUUGUGAAAAACAUUUUCCCCUCACUUAUGAAGAUUUCCAGUCUUUUGAUUUUGAUUUUGAUUUUGUGAUGUAUGGUUACUACAUACUUUUGAUGUUUUAUCUCUUUAUACUCCCUCCGAUCUAAAGUCACGUCACCUUCUUUGGAUUCGAGGGAGUAGUUGACUGUGGCAUAAGUAAUGCAAAUAUUUUCAAAGCACUCACAGUUUCAAACAGGGUUAACAUGCACACUAAAAUAUGUUUUUAUUUAAACACUUUUCUUAACACUCAAAAAAUGGUUUUUCUUUUUAUGCAUAAGGAUCUAAAUUCUUAGUGUGCUUAUUUGCUCAGACAUGAGAUUACGGAGAAAAACACACAUAUUUCCAAAGUGACAUGAUUUUGAAUUGGGCUAUGUGCUAACAAAUUAAAAUGUGUACAUCUCAUUUCAUUGUACACAACAAGCCACGCUUGCCUCUAUUAAAGAAAAUUAAAUUUGUUGCCAUAUGUGCUUGCCCAACACUAAAUACUAACUAAGCAGUGGAUUUUGUUUUGAAUGCAACUCUAUGCUAUCAAAUUAAAAUGUGUAUAUAAAUCUCAUUGUAGACAACAAGCUACCUUGUUCUCUACAGCAUCGCCGGCAAGCUGAGUUGGUUCUCCAAAGAACACAUGUUGAUGCACUGCUCAGGCCUUGCUCUCCUCGCAUACAAUUGUCAUCCUACCUUGCUCUCCUCGCAUACAAUUGUCAUCCUUUCAUUAUUUUGCAUUUGUCCUUAUGGCAUGCUGAGUAUAGAUCCCAAUGCUGCGUUAUUUAUAUAUGCAUUCUCCUUUAAAAUUGUGUAUACCCUGUUUGUCAUUGCCACCCUCUUUGCGACGUCUAUAGCUCGCUUUACAUAAUAUUUGUGUCCUGCUCAAAAUUUGAAUAAUAUAUGUGCUCAAUUUCUUCAGCGCAUCCUAUGAUUAUCUGUUUAUCAUUUUCCAUUAUUAAUCACCCUUAUCAACGCAUAUAUGAUCCAGAAAACAAGGAGGUUUUAUUUCAAGGUAAACAUCAAAAUGUAGCGUACUAACUCAGUGUUAGUUUCUUAUGUAUUAUUUGAUCCAUAUAAACAAUGUGCUCAAGAAAACUUAUUUAUCUUCUGUUGCAUACUUCGAUAUCACUUGUGGAUAUGCCUUUGAAUGUCAACAUCUAACUGCUUUAUCAUCCCCAACAUCCAGGAUACAUAAACAGGGAUGAUGUUGCUCAAAGGCGAGCACACGUUACCUUGAAGGAGUUUUGCCCUCUGUCUAUUCCUCAAGUAUCAAUGAUGCCUCUUUGUGCUAUCACUCCCAGGUCAGACGAGGAUCACGCUGGACCUGUAUAACUAUGGAGUAUCCAUGCGGUCUUUUAUUUAAGCUUUGAAAUGAGUGAAUUGGAUGCUGGGUUUGAACGAUUGUGUUCCGUGACAUUUUUUGAUGUUAUAUUAUCUAUUUCGAACUCUUCUCUGAAGGAGUACCACUCUAUAUGAACUUUAUUGUGUUUGCGCUUUUUUAUACUUGAAAUGCUUCGUUGGUUGUAUAAAUAGAUUGAACAUAAAUAUACCCGGCAGCUAUGCUGCCGGGUGCGGCAAGCCGCAUUUCCUACCUAGUUUUAUAAAAGACCAUGGCCUCAUCUUGCUCCGUCCAUGCAUGUGGUGUGCGUGCAGAUAGCCUAAGGAAAGACAGGCAUUGCUUGCUUUGAAAGAGUUCCUUUUGUUUCGAGUUGAUUUUACUGCUUGCUUUGAAAGUUUUUACUGCCCACUAGAGGUGAUCGGCGCCCGCUGCACGCACUUUCUAGAUAUACAAACUCGCUGCUAGGAGAAAGCAGUGUAUUUUGUUUUUCCUUUGUGUUGGCAUGCAUGCACAAGAGGGGGAAAGCAAGAACCGUCGCGUACGUGAUUCUAAAAGAAAAGGAGAUGCAUUCCCCCUAUUGGGCACUGCUAAGCGUCGGUCGGUGAAUCUUUUUAAAAGAUCCGCCGCCUCACGAACCAUCGGAUCUGACGGAUUGAGCGGCCAGACGUCACCUUCUACCACUGCAACACAGGCUAUGUUGCAGGAAAUUUCUACAACACAGGUCUUGCUGCGAAAAAUUUUGCAACAUAGGUCAAGGCGCAUAUUUUUUUUUUCCACAAAGGUCUUUUUACAGCUUUUUUUUGCAACAGAUGUCUUGUUGCAAUUUUUUUACAGCAAAGAUUUCGUUGCAUUUUUAAAUUUUUUUUUUUUGCAGCAGAGGGCUUGUUACAAUUCUUUAUGCAACAGAAACAUUAUUGCAGAAAAGUGAAGUAAGAAGCGGCCACAUCAUAUCUAGUGAUUGAGCCUGAAGCCAAGCUUUUUCCUUCCAUAUUUGGCCGGCUACUUUGUUUUUUCUAAAAGAAAUCAGGCACUGUCGCGUACGUACGUAGUGGUGUAGUAGAACAUAAAUCGGGUAUGUGUCUAUGCCACGGCUGAGUUGAAUGGGUUGUAAUUUAGAACGUAGAUUAUGACACCGUCAGUCGCUUAAGAUAUGUUCUGUGUUGGUUAAUACAGAUAUUACGCAUACUCUUGUGCACAUCAAGCUAAGCAGUACUCCUGUCUAGGUACUUGACAAGGACCGGGUCACCAGGAUUGAUACUAUCGCGUGACGUUAUUCAAGCAUAACUGUUUCCUUCAGCUCUGCCAUCGGUUCUUAUGGCGAUUUUGUUUGUGCAGGCCUGCAGGGUAACGUAGAAGCUGUUGCUUUGGACAAGUCGUGCUAGCAGGGAAAGGCUGGCUUCAUUUGAAGCAGAUGAAUUCGCCAAGGUUUUCGUAGAUUAGAUUGGUAUGUAGUUCGCGGAGUAAA